CCUACGGGCGACAGCAGUGGGGAAUCUUCCUCAAUGGGCGAAAGCCUGACGGAGCAACGCCGCGUGAUCGAAUGAAGGCCUUCGGGUUGUAAAGAUCUGUUGACAGGGACGAAUAAGCAAUGCGAAUCGUGUUGUGUGUGACGCUGCCUGUUUAGAAAGCUCCGGCUAACUACGGGCCAGCAGCCGCGGUCAUACGUAGGGAGCAAGCGUUGUCCGGAAUUACUGGGCGUAAAGGGCGCGUAGGUGGGCGCUUAAGUCAGGUGUGAAAACUCCGGGCGCAACCUGGAGCCUGCACUUGAAACUGGGUGUCUUGAGGGGAGGAGAGGAACGGGGAAUUCGUGGUGUAGCGGUGAAAUGCGUAGAUAUCAGGAGGAACACCAGUGGCGAAGGCGACUUUCUGGACUGCACCUGACGCUGAUGCGCGAAAGCGUGGGUAGCGAACGGGAUUAGAUACCCGAGUAGUC
rnacentral:rRNA from 1 species